GACGCUUUGGUGGAGUGGUUAACACGUAUCCCUGCUACUUUGCAGAAAUAGCAGCCUGUUAUUACAGGUGUAAGGAUAUCCUCUCUGAGGGCAUGAGUUCGAAUCUCAUAGGCGUCG